UUUUUUAUAAUGACAAACAAUAGGAGAUAUGCAUAUAGGAUUCCCCCUAAAUUCAUGUUAUAUCUCAACAUACAAGUCAUGCAAACUAUUCCCCCUUAAUUGAAUAUUCCCCCUCAAUUAAGGCAUGCUAGAAGGUGGAGACAUUCCCCCUUAUUAGAUGCAUAUCGCCUAAGUUCUUCCCCCUUUUGGCAUUAGCAAAANNN
rnacentral:lncRNA from 1 species